CCCCCCAAACCCUAGAGACAUUUCAUCUCAUCCACCAUCCUUGCAUCCUCUUCUUCUCUCAUCCUCUCACACAGGCUACCUCUGAAACCUAACAUCAAUCCAUGUAAAAUCACUCAAGAUAACCAAAGAUUCAUCAUUUCUCUCUUUCAAUCGUGAGUCCCGCCGAGUAUUCUUUUUUCCUCAUCCGAUUUUGAAUCCCAAACCCCGAAACCCUAUAUCCCAAACAUGAAAGAGCUGGAAUCUCAUCAUUUUAUUCUUUUGCUCAUUCAAAACAUCACAUGCAGUUACAAAUUCAUUAGAUCUUGACCGCAUCAUGAUGGUCUAUUUUCCAGAGGUCAAAGACAGUGACCUCUGGACAUUGGCUUUGCCCGAAGCUCCGAUUGGCUUUAAGAGCUCCACUCGUCAUUUUGAGAGAUGGAAAUCAACCACAUCAUCCUGAAAAUGAACAAUGGUCGUGCGAGUGCCCCACAAGCUGAAACAAUGGUGGAGAAACAUCUGACGAGAACAUGGAGAUGGAAUCUGGAUACAUCUCGGAGCACUGACUGCACUGAUGAACAUUCGAGCUGAUAGAGCGCUCACUAGGUUGUUAAUAGAGCUCUGGGAUCUAGCCAAAGUGGUUUUCAAGUUUGUCAAUUGUGAUCUAACACCAACGCUCGGGGAAGUUACCAGUUUUACUGAGUUGUCAUUUUUCGGACGAAAACCCAUAUUAUCAGUCAUCAUGCUAGGUGUUACACCCCAUGUUUUCGUAUGAAAAAGUACGUUGUUAGUCAAUUGAUGUAGGCUCAAAAAUAAAAUUCUCUUUGAAAGUAUAUAAAGUAAGUUAAUCAUGUUA